rnacentral:rRNA from 1 species
CGCGUAGGCGGGCUGAUAAGUUGUGGGUGAAAUGCCGAGGCUCAACCUCGGCGCUGCCUGCAAGACUGUUGGUCUUGAGGUAUGGAGGGGAGAGUGGAAUUCCUGGUGUAGCGGUGAAAUGCGUAGAUAUCAGGAGGAACACCGAUGGCGAAGGCAGCUUUCUGGCCAUAUCCUGACGCUGAGGUGCGAAAGCCAGGGUAGCGAACG